UUUUUUUAACAUGGAAAAAGAAUGUCUACUUCAGCAGUCCUCCAAGGGAAGGAAACCUCACUGGAGGAACAGGAAGGAGUUCUACUGGACAUAAUGCGGUCAGGGAGGUGACUCUCAAGGACUGACUCCACAAUAAGUGUUGGACUAUUAACAUCGAGGAAAUAAGUGAAGACUUGGCAACCCUACUGGUAUCACUUAUAUUAUAUGCCCAUACAAUAGAAGCAUUGCUGAGUAGGGCAGCCUGCUUCUGAAAUAUUCACAGAAUUACAGCCUGCAAAGCUCCUAGAGCCUGCCAACGUGCAUAUACUCAGUCCCACAGAAGCUGGCAAUCCUAGGAUCACACAGAGAUGUCUCCAGAGGAUCAUCACUGGCAUUAAAUGGAAAAUGACUGUUCAUGCAAAAUAUGAAGAUGCGGAAA